CUGGCCCGCACACCUGGCGGGGCCGGCGAGUUGAGAUGCCCCCGCCGGCUGGCGGAACUGUGCGCCCCGCCCGCCGAGGCCCGCUCCCCCUCGAGGCCUGAGGCCCAGUUCUAUAGGGGCGCGAGAGAGCGGCGGCGUGGGGGGCGCGGAGGAAGCGCCGGCCCCCGCCUCCACCGCCUCCUUCGUGGUUGCGGCCCAGGCCGAACAGGGUACCGUGCCCCGGCCGCCUUGGCCUUGGCCACCGCGAGGUCCGGGGCGACUACACCCAGCAGCCCUGUGGCCCUCCUACUGCUCUGGAGACCUGGAGUGGGGUUACAGAGGGAAGCGACUCGCUGCGAGCUCCCCAUCGAAUAUGGAGCCACCAGGUCACGGGACGACGUGCGCUCUACAGAAUGUGAGACAAGGGCCCUCCACACCCAGCCAUUCAGGCCUGAGGUCCUGGCUCCGAGACUGAGGCCGAGACGCGGCAAGCCCCGCGCCGGACCAGCUCUGCCCCUCCCGCACCCACGUGUCUGCGCACAGCCCUCCUUUGCGAUAGAACCCCCUUCCUGGUUCUCCACCACUAAUGAUCUGCCGGAAUUAAACUGGUAACUUUCCCUGCCCUUGAACCGGGAGUUUCGGGAUGAGUUUGCCAAUCCCUGUGCUAUUUGUAACCAGCCCCGUGACACGUGAUACGGAUCCAACUGUGCUAGUUUCCACACCAGGGGUCAGGGCACGGUGGAAGGUGAGUCAAGGGUUCUCUGCCCAAGCGCAGAGGUGCCCUGAGCCACGGGGACUUCCCAGCCCUGCCUUCUCUUCUCAGCUUCCUGUCUGCCUUGCCUGAAACCCUAUCUAGAGUUAAGGCCAAUGGAUGAAACUUUUCAAUGUGCAAGCAAGCACUUUACCUACCUGAUACAACAAGAGAUUCCUGGUCAUGCUCACUGAAGUGUUCUCAUCUGUAAUGUGAGAAUAACCAGACCUACCUCGAAGGAUGUCUUGCUUGAAGAGUAAAUAUCUGGCACAUGGAGAGUGAUCAAUAAAUGGAUUUCUCCUUAACUACUACUCGUCUAGCUACACUCAUCUCAUCUUCCACCUGUGGCUCAGGAAGCUUGAGCUGAUGAAUCCAUGGAGACUGUAAAGAAAUAGCAGGGGAGGUCGAUCAGGGUGCUCACUGAGAGCAAACUGUGGCUCUGUUGAUUUCUGAUGCCCAGUUGGCAAUGGUUGGAGUUCCCAGCCUGCCAGCUCAGCUGUUUCUCCCUAUAGCGCAUCUCUCAGUUAUUUCUAGGAGUUCUUAAAGGUGUGCAUCGCAUCAUCUCAAAAACCAGCCCGUCCAACUUGUGUUAUCUGCCCUGUUGAUCUACCUUUGUUUUCCCAAGGUCUGCAGCCUCCAAAGCUUCUGAAAUGGGACUUGCUGCUGCUGGUAUCUUUAGAGGGGCAUGUGGUAUCCUGCCAAGGGUGAUUCCUUAGCCUGUCAGUGGCCCAGGGCUCAGGAUUCUACCUGCCUCACAUCUCCUGGAUCCAUCUGCAUGUCUUGGCCCAAUCUCCAUAUCCUCGGUUCUGGCCCCUCCACUACCUGGUUGCCACUGAUGAUUCCAAGGAUUCAGAUCAGCUCACAGUGCUCCAAAAAUAUAGCAAAGUGAAACAAAUGUGCAAAUAAAUGAUAAAAACAAAAGAAGAAAAAGAAAGAAAAGACUUAUUGUAUAUCCUACCUCCUUCAAACAGCUUGCUGUGAUGUGCAUGGUGGUGUGGGAACCUUCUGAUGUCAUACAUACAGGUAACUUACCUAGUUUUGGAUCAGGCAUGGAAACUUGUCUGAGACACUUGGAGAUGACUCCCAAAAUGGUCUGACCCAGAAAUCCAGAAAGGGGCCAUCUGACUGUCCCAGGGUGCUGUACAUGGGGAACAUGCCACCUGGCUGGGGAUCCAGGGAGCAAGGGUCUUCCUGGGUGUGGCAGGUCAUCUCCUCACAGUAACACACGAACACUUGACUUCUCCCACAAAAACUUCUGGCCUAAAAAAUUAAUCAAUACUUAUCUAAACACCUGAGAGCCGAGAGUCUUUGAUAAAUUAAAAGGCAGUUUGGCAGUAAGCCACCUCCUGAAUGCCCCAGAUUUUCAUAAAAGGCCCUUUGUGGAAGCCACAGAAUGCAGGUAAAGCUAGGAUUUGAGGCGGUGCUGAUUGAGAGAAGAUAAAGAGAAAACUACUUUUUAGGGUUUUUUCUUUUUAACUUACCUCAUGGGGUGUUUAAAGAAUUGAAUGAGUACAGAAAACAAGACUUGCUGUAAUUUUGGUUGGAUGUGAUUCCAGGGGAAAUAUUUUUUCUUAAAUGAAAAUAUAAUAGCUAACCCCUACAUAAAGCUUACUAUGUGUUUUUAGGGGUUUACAAAUGUAUUCACUCCUUUGUGUUUCAUAAGAACCCUGUGAAGUGAGUACUGCUGCUGCCCCACUGGACAGGUGCACAGGGAGGCUGGGCACUUGCUCCCUCACCUUGCCAGCCAGGGGCAUUGCCGGAUGGGAAGCGCCAGUUCUCUCUCCUCUCCAGCGGGUGUCUGUGUGCUCUGCCACAGCACCCAUUCAUUCUUUGCAGUUCCAGUUAAAUGCCAUUUCCCCAGUGAAGAUGGGCCCUGGCUCCCCGUUCCCCCUUGUUAUUUUCAUACCUGGCGUUCUGGUGUUUUUCAUUCAGGACACUUACCACAGCCAUAGUUGUUUACUAUUCCUUUCAGACCACUUCUUCCCCACCCUUUGCUGCUUAUACUAUGUGUCACCCUCUCCCCUUCCUGUCACUCUCAUCAUUGGCUUCCGUCUCUACCACUUCAAAUCCUCCCUUAAUCCUACAUGCUUCCAACCUCCAUGUGGUUGAGUGCUAGAGUUUGGGUGUUUUUAUCCCCUCAAAUCUCAUGUUGAAAUUUGAUCCCCGGUGUUGGAGGUGGGGCCUAAUGGGAAGUGUUUGGGUCGUGAGGGUGGAUCCUUCAUGAUUAGAUUAAUGCUCCCCGGGGAAGAUUAAUAGUUCUAGCUCUAUUAGUUUCCAAGAAAGCUGGUUGUUAACAAAAAGCCUGGAGGCCACAUGGUGAUCUGUACAUACCAGGUUUCCUUCGCCUUCUGUCUUGAUUGGAAACAGCCUGAAGCCCUCACCAGAAGCCAGAGGCAGAUGCUGGUGCCAUGCUUCUUGUACAGUCUGCAGAACUGUGAGCCAAAUAAACCUCUUUUCUUUAUAAAUUACCCAGCCUCGGGUAUUCCUUUAUAGUAACACAAACACACUAAGACAAUACCAAUUCAGAAUUCAGGCCUUCUCAUCAACAAAUCUUUCCUCUUCCAACCACCUCAGCCAACACCUCCUACCAGCUCACCCUGGACCAGGGACUACCUGAAACAGCCCCUUCUGCAAAAACAGGAAUUGGAGCAUCUCUUUCCAUCUUGCUUUUCCAGCCAUUCCUGCUACAACUGUCCUUCACUCUAACUAGACCCUUCACUUGUUCCAAUUAACUAUUUUUUCUUUACUUCUUUCUUGUGUAGUUUAGAUUCUAUGCUCUAUCAAUUCAGUAGCAGUCUCUCUGAUAGACUUAAAUUUCAAAGCCUGUGUCUUUGCAUCAUGCCAUCUGGUAAUGUUGCCAUUACCUACUUUUCUGAGCCUGUCCUCAGUAGCUAAGUGCUACUGGUGAACGACCCAACUCUAAAAUUGACUGCUAUCUGUGUAAAUCAAUGUUCACUAAACUGAAGUGGGCCCUCAACAAUGCCUGGCUACCCAACCCCAUUUUGUUCCUAGGCUCACUUUCUGCAUAACUGUUUUCAGCAGGUAGUCCCAAAGUCCAGUGAGCCUUUUUCCCUGCUCAGGUGACAGACACCCUUGAUGGUUCUGAUCCUUGCCUGGCCAGCAUGGUUCUUCAGGGAAGACAACAAGCAAGGGUAAAGCAAGGGUAAAUCCUUGGCCAAGCACACUCCCCCUAUAGUGCCCCUGGCUUGGAGUCCCAGUGUUAUAGCUCUUUAGUUUGCUCUUCAGUGCUUGAUACCUGAAGCAUACUUGCUUCCAGCCCAGGUCAGGGAGCUUCAAGUCUGUGCCAAAGCUGUGCCAAAGCUGAAUCUCCCUUCAUGGUGACUUUUCCCUGAUAUUGGACCCAGGUCAGUGUUCUAAGCUCACUUCACUUCUGAUGAGUUCUUCCUUCAGGGCCCUAGAUAUUUCUUGCUAGAGACCUAAGUCUGAAUUAUCUCCAUCCAUCAGCAUGGCUUAAAAUAAGGAUUGGUGAACUUAUUCUGUAAUAGGCUAGAUAGCAAAUAUUUUAGGCCCUAUAGGUCAUUUGAGUUAUUUGGUCUCUGUUGCAACUACUCACCUCUACCAUCACAGCUAGAAAGCAGCCAUAAACAUAGACAAUAUAAACAAAUGAGCAUGGCUAUGAUUCAAUACAACUUUACUUAUGAACACCAAUAUUUGAAUUUCAUAGAAUUUUCACGUCACAAAAUAUUCUUCUUUUAAUUUUUUUCAGCCAUUGAAAGUAUAAGUUCUCCUAUUCAAGUAGGUGUAGUUAGAAAUAAACAAAAUAAAGUCAUUCUUAGUUCACUGGUCUUACAAAAACAGGAGGCAGCCAGAUUUGGCCCUUGGGCUAUAGCUUGCUCACUUCUGCAAUACUAAUUUGUUGAACUUAAAAAGAAAUAGGGGGUAAAUCUGGCAAGAUGGUGGAGUAGAAAAUACCAGGAAUCUAUCUCCCCACUUAGACAAUGAUUUGCUGGCAGAAUCUGUUUGAUGUAACUGUUUUAUAACUCUGAAAUCUAUUGCAGGCUUAAAAACUUCCAGUGGAAGGUUGGGCAGUAAAUUGCAGUUAC
rnacentral:lncRNA from 10 species